CCCCCCGUCCCAAUGUUUGUCUCUUUGAUUCACUGAGCCCCUCUGUGUGUCACUUUGCCCCCUCAGUCCUUCUGUGUGUCUUACUUUCCACCCAGCCCCUCAAUGUGUCUCUUUCUCUCAGGGCCCCUCUGUGUGUCUCUUUGUCCCCCCUCAGCCACUUUGUGUGUCUCUUCUAACAAUGUGGUACUAGUACAAUAUACAGUACAAAACAAUAUUAAGUAUGGAUGGUUAAUAUCUCAAUACAGGGAAAUAAUAUAUAUUAAUGUGCCAAAC